ensembl:lncRNA
GUUUGUGUGACGUGUGUUUGGUGUGAAUUUCAUGCAUGUUUGGUGUUUGAUGUGUUUGGUGAGCAUUUUCUGUGCGGUUGUCGCGUGUUUGGUGUGUUGAGAUGUUUGACAUGUAUUUGAUGUGUGUUUGGGUUGCGUUUGGUGGUUGUGUCUCUGGUGUUUGUAUGAUAUUUGUUUGGUGUGUGUCUGGUGGGAGUUUGGUGGAUGUGCACUGUUUGAUGUGUGUUUGGUGUGUGUAAAUGUCUUGUGUGUGUCUGAGUGUCUGGUGGGAGUUUGGUGGAUGUGUACUGUUUGUUUGGUGAGUGUUUGGUGUGUGUUUGAUGUGUGCUUUGUGUUAACAUGCCAGCAGCACUUACUGGUAUGUUUGGUGGGUGUUUGGUGUGUGUUUGAAUUGUGUUUGGUGUGUGUGUUUGGUGAGUGCUUGAGUGGUGUGUGUUUGGUGUGUGUUUGGUGUGUGUUUGGUGUGUGUGGUGUGUGUUUGAAUUGUGUGUGUGUGUGUGUUUGGUGUUUGAGUUGGUGAGUGUUUAGUGUGUGAGUAGUGUGUGUUUGGCGAGUGUGUGGUGUGUGUUUGAAUUGUGUGUGUGUGUAUUUGGCGAGUGUUUGGUGUGUGUUUGAAUUGUGUGUGUGUGUAUUUGGCGAGUGUUUGGUGUGUGAGUAGUGUGUGUUUGGCGUGAGUAGUGUGUGUUUGGCGAGUGUUUGGCGUGUGAGUAGUGUGUGUUUGGCGUGUGAGUAGUGUGUGAGUAUGGGUUUGGCGAGUGUUUGGUGUGUGAGUAGCGUGUGAGUGGCGAGUGUUUGGUGUGUGAGUAGCGUGUGAGUAGUGUGUGAGUGGCGUGUGAGUGGCGAGUGUUUGGUGUGUGAGUAGUGUGUGAGUAGUGUGUGAGUGGCGAGUGUUUGGUGUGUGAGUAGUGUGUGAGUAGCGUGUGAGUGGCGAGUGUUUGGUGUGUGAGUAGCGUGUGAGUAGCGUGUGAGUGGCGAGUGUUUAGCGUCCGUUUCUCCGGUCUUUGUUUCUGUCUAUGUACAUUGAGUUGUAAAUUUGAAAAGACCCCGUCUCUGUGUUUUGUGUGCACACUGUAAUCGGCCCAGCAGGACUUCAGCUGUGACCGAACUAGUGACCUAACUACAAAAAAAGUUCUGUAAUGGCUUCUGGGUAAUAUUACAGGCGUCUGCCUUAAUAUAAACACUCAGACAGCUGGAAUCUAAUCCACACCCACCUGCUGGCGUCAGAAACUUCAC